CGGGCGGGCAUGCUUAACAUGCAAGUCGAACGGCAGCACGGGUGCUUGCACCUGGUGGCGAGUGGCGAACGGGUGAGUAAUACAUCGGAACAUGUCCUGUAGUGGGGGAUAGCCCGGCGAAAGCCGGAUUAAUACCGCAUACGAUCUACGGAUGAAAGCGGGGGACCUUCGGGCCUCGCGCUAUAGGGUUGGCCGAUGGCUGAUUAGCUAGUUGGUGGGGUAAAGGCCUACCAAGGCGACGAUCAGUAGCUGGUCUGAGAGGACGACCAGCCACACUGGGACUGAGACACGGCCCAGACUCCUACGGGAGGCAGCAGUGGGGAAUUUUGGACAAUGGGCGAAAGCCUGAUCCAGCAAUGCCGCGUGUGUGAAGAAGGCCUUCGGGUUGUAAAGCACUUUUGUCCGGAAAGAAAUCCUUGGCUCUAAUACAGUCGGGGGAUGACGGUACCGGAAGAAUAAGCACCGGCUAACUACGUGCCAGCAGCCGCGGUAAUACGUAGGGUGCAAGCGUUAAUCGGAAUUACUGGGCGUAAAGCGUGCGCAGGCGGUUUGCUAAGACCGAUGUGAAAUCCCCGGGCUCAACCUGGGAACUGCAUUGGUGACUGGCAGGCUAGAGUAUGGCAGAGGGGGGUAGAAUUCCACGUGUAGCAGUGAAAUGCGUAGAGAUGUGGAGGAAUACCGAUGGCGAAGGCAGCCCCCUGGGCCAAUACUGACGCUCAUGCACGAAAGCGUGGGGAGCAAACAGGAUUAGAUACCCUGGUAGUCCACGCCCUAAACGAUGUCAACUAGUUGUUGGGGAUUCAUUUCCUUAGUAACGUAGCUAACGCGUGAAGUUGACCGCCUGGGGAGUACGGUCGCAAGAUUAAAACUCAAAGGAAUUGACGGGGGACCCGCACAAGCGGUGGAUGAUGUGGGAUUAAUUCGAUGCAACGCGAAAAACCUUACCUACCCUUGACAUGGUUCGGAAUCCUGCUGAGAGGCGGGAGUGCUCGAAAGAAAACGGGCGCACAGGUGCUGCAUGGCUGUCGUUCAGCUCCGUUGUCGUGGAGAUGUUUGGGUUAG
rnacentral:rRNA from 1 species